GACGAACGCUGGCGGCGUGCUUAACACAUGCAAGUCGAACGGAAAGGCCCUGCUUUUGUGGGGUGCUCGAGUGGCGAACGGGUGAGUAACACGUGAGUAACCUGCCCUUGACUUUGGGAUAACUUCAGGAAACUGGGGCUAAUACCGGAUAGGAGCUCCUGCUGCAUGGUGGGGGUUGGAAAGUUUCGGCGGUUGGGGAUGGACUCGCGGCUUAUCGGCUUGUUGGUGGGGUAGUGGCUUACCAAGGCUUUGCCGGGUAGCCGGCCUGAGAGGGUGACCGGCCACAUUGGGACUGAGAUACGGCCCAGACUCCUACGGGAGGCAGCAGUGGGGAAUAUUGCACAAUGGGCGGAAGCCUGAUGCAGCAACGCCGCGUGCGGGAUGACGGCCUUCGGGUUGUAAACCGCUUUCGCCUGUGACGAAGCGUGAGUGACGGUAAUGGGUAAAGAAGCACCGGCUAACUACGUG
rnacentral:rRNA from 1 species